AUGUUCGCUUCGGCAGCAUACAUAUAAAACUAGAAUGGUACAGAGAAGAGUAGUAUGGCCCCUGAGCAAGGAUUAAGCAAAUUGAUGAAGAGUUCCAUACUUUUUUU